CAAAAACUGUUACAUCAAUUAUGCUAUUUUUGCACUUAUUUAUUAUAUUUUUGCACAGUUCCUGUGGAAGAUAACCCAAGAACAACCAUACAGAGGUGAGAUUCAGCACAUUGACAAGGAGGUGACCACUGACUAUGGGAUCAGCCCAACAGAGGCCAGUGCCAUACUGGUCAGCCAGAAGAUGAAGCUUCACCCUUCUGUCCAGGCUACCUCUUUUACUGAGGCAGUAGAGUGGGCUGAGGAGCAUCUGUGACAAGCUGUACUUCAGAAGUGGAUAUUGCCCUGCCUUAGAGGUAAGAGAUAUUUUCUGCCAGUUUUGUGUUUGUGUGUGAAAUGUGCAAAUGAUGAAUGGUGUCCACUUGCAGAGCAUUUCCUCUGCUGAAGGAUCCCAAAGCUCUUCACAAAAUUGUUCACAUGUAGGACUGCUGAAAUUCAGCUAAACUCCUCUUGAGAAGCUCUGGAGUUUGUUCUCUUAAAACCCACAUAAAAACAAGUUUUCAGUUUUUCAAGUCUGACUUGAAGACAAAGUUGGAAUUACAAAUCUGCAGGCACUACAUUUCCUUUCAAAGAAGGGAAAAAGCAGAUGGAGUUGUUUUUUGCGUGUGCUUAAAAACAAUGAAAACUUGUCGAUAUUUUUCAUUUAAAUUUUCAUGAAGAGCUAAGAAACUCUGCUGGAGGGGGUAGGAAAAUGUUGUGACUUUUACUGGCAGAGGACUGUUUGAAUGGUUAUUGACAAAGAGCACAGUGCACAAAAUGUGCUUGGGCUAAGCAGAGUGAAGAUGUUUGACAUAUUGGCAAUGCAGCACAGGGUCAGG
rnacentral:lncRNA from 1 species